rnacentral:lncRNA from 1 species
GGUGGGUCUGGGAGAGGUGCCCCAGGCUGGGUACGCGUUGUGCCGCCGCCGCCGGACUCUGCGGAGCCGGGGCAGCGAGGCAGGCGGGCUCGGGAAGUUGAAGAAGCUCCAACUCGGAGAGAGACGGAGGACGGACGCUGCAGCCGCCAGGAAGCUGGUUCGUGGGGCCGGGGGGCUGCAGGCCUGCCUCACAUUAUCUGAUGUGAGUGAAACCUGGCCCAAGAAGCAGAAUUCCUUUAUUGCCUUGCACAUUUUGGAUUCCCUGAGAGAAAGUUGGACUGUUAGGGUCUACCAGCGAGUACACUCCAGGGCUUUUAUUUUUAAAUAACCUCCCCCUUUGUUGUGGGGACAUGGUCUACAUCCUAAGCUGCUGAGUGACUGGGAAUACAUCUUUUGUCUUCUGCACUGGACAGACUGGACAAGCUUGGUGUCUUGGUGAUCAUUUCCAGAGACUUUUGAAGUUCUUGUUCCCUGUAAUGUAAUCCUCAGUGAUGAAGCACAUGUAUAAGGAUGCAUUAAGAAAAGAACCAUGGAUAAAUACUGUAAACUCCAAAAGAUUGGGGAAGGAUCCUUUGGAAAAGCCAUUCUUGUUAAAUCUAGGGAAGAUUACAAACAAUAUGUUAUUAAGGAAAUUAACAUCUCA